rnacentral:rRNA from 1 species
CUGGCUCAGGACGAACGCUGGCGGCGUGCUUAACACAUGCAAGUCGAGCGGUAAGGCCCUUCGGGGUACACGAGCGGCGAACGGGUGAGUAACACGUGAGCAACCUGCCCCUGACUCUGGGAUAAGCGGUGGAAACGCCGUCUAAUACCGGAUACGACCCGCCACCUCAUGGUGGAGGGUGGAAAGUUUUUCGGUCAGGGAUGGGCUCGCGGCCUAUCAGCUUGUUGGUGGGGUAACGGCCUACCAAGGCGAUUACGGGUAGCCGGCCUGAGAGGGCGACCGGCCACACUGGGACUGAGACACGGCCCAGACUCCUGCGGGAGGCAGCAGUGGGGAAUAUUGCGCAAUGGGCGAAAGCCUGACGCAGCGACGCCGCGUGGGGGAUGACGGCCUUCGGGUUGUAAACCUCUUUUACCACCAACGCAGGCUCCCAGUUCUCUGGGGGUUGACGGUAGGUGGGGAAUAAGGACCGGCUAACUACGUGCCAGCAGCCGCGGUAAUACGUAGGGUCCGAGCGUUGUCCGGAAUUAUUGGGCGUAAAGAGCUCGUAGGCGGCGUGUCGCGUCUGCUGUGAAAGACCGGGGCUUAACUCCGGUUCUGCAGUGGAUACGGGCAUGCUAGAGGUAGGUAGGGGAGACUGGAAUUCCUGGUGUAGCGGUGAAAUGCGCAGAUAUCAGGAGGAACACCGGUGGCGAAGGCGGGUCUCUGGGCCUUACCUGACGCUGAGGAGCGAAAGCAUGGGGAGCGAACAGGAUUAGAUACCCUGGUAGUCCAUGCCGUAAACGUUGGGCGCUAGGUGUGGGGACUUUCCACGGUUUCCGCGCCGUAGCUAACGCAUUAAGCGCCCCGCCUGGGGAGUACGGCCGCAAGGCUAAAACUCAAAGGAAUUGACGGGGGCCCGCACAAGCGGCGGAGCAUGUUGCUUAAUUCGACGCAACGCGAAGAACCUUACCAAGGUUUGACAUCACCCGUGGACUCGCAGAGAUGUGAGGUCAUUUAGUUGGCGGGUGACAGGUGGUGCAUGGCUGUCGUCAGCUCGU